AGCGAACGCUGGCGGCAGGCUUAACACAUGCAAGUCGAACGCGUGCCUUCGGGCACGAGUGGCGAACGGGUGAGUAACACGUGGGUCACGUACCCUGAGGUGGGGGAUAACCCGAGGAAACUCGGGCUAAUACCGCAUAUGGCUACGGCUAAAAGCCUUCGGGCGCCUUUGGAACGGCCCGCGGCCGAUUAUUUAAUCCUAGUUGGUGAGGUAACGGCUCACCAAGGGUACGAUCGGUAGCUGGUCUGAGAGGACGAUCAGCCACACUGGGACUGAGACACGGCCCAGACUCCUACGGGAGGCAGCAGUGGGGAAUAUUGGACAAUGGGCGAAAGCCUGAUCCAGCCAUGCCGCGUGGGUGAAGAAGGCCUUCGGGUUGUAAAGCCCUGUCGGGAGGGAAGAAAAAAAUGACGGUACCUCGCAAGAAAGCACCGGCUAACUCCGUGC
rnacentral:rRNA from 1 species